GUGCUUGCUUUGGCAGCACAUAUACUAAAAUUGGAACGACACAAUGAAGAUUAGCGUGGCCCCUGCACAAGGAUGACACGCAAAUUUGUGAAGCGUUCCAUAUUUAA